CCCUUAGAUGUCCUGGGCCGCACGCGCGCUACAAUGAUAAAUUCAGAAUGUUUUUCCUGCCCUGGAAAGGUGUGGGUAAUCAUUAUAGUAUUUAUCGUGUUAGGGAUCGAUCUUUGCAAUUAUAGAUCUUGAACGAGAAAUGCCUAGUAAGUGCAGCUCAUCAGGCUGUACUGAUUACGUCCCUGCCCUUUGUACACACCGCCCGUCGCUCCUACCGAUUUCGAGUGUUCAGGUGAAUCUUCUGGACUGAGUCGCAAGACCCGGGAAGUUAGAUAAAUCUUAACACUUAGAGGAAGGAGAAGUCGUAACA
rnacentral:rRNA from 1 species